CAUAUAACUCAUACUCAGCAUCCCAUGUAAUAUUAGUCAUCUCACAAAACAAUAUCUUUGUAGAAACACAUAAUGGGUACCCAGCAGAUAUGCCAAUACAGAAAUCACAUUUAUGGGCACACAACUACACACUCUGUCUCCCUCCUAGGAAACACGGAUACACACAAUAUAAAAGCAAUCUUAAACUAACACCUCCAAAUCUCCAACUAUUCUUGGCCAAAACGCUAGUAUUCAACAACUAAUAAAACAGUUAUUUGCUAGGUUAUUUGGCUGUCAUUCUUAUCAGUAUCACUAGACUGUGACAAACUGAUUCACAUAUAAUUUAAAACAACACAGCAACAUAUAAAUUAAACCACUUUCAAGUUAAACUGCACACUUAUCACACAUUAUCACAAUCACCAUUUACACAGAAUAAACAGUUAACAGCUGUAUUCAGAACAUAUUAUUGGAAGGUAUACCAAUUUUAGUUUAGAUUUAUUUUAGGGAUUCUUAUGUAUACAUUUUCUUAAUUAACUUCAUUACUUUAAUCUACUAUAGUAUUGUAUUUAAAGAAAGGAUCCAUUUAUAUAGCGCGCUCAUAACUCAACUAUUUGUAUAAAACUUCCAUUAACUAAUCUGAGAUGAUGCUGCAUCAACUUAAAUCUUAUAGAAAUUGAACAAACAUCUGGACCAGAUUAAACAGACAUGGUUUCACCUGAAUCUUUCAGAACUCUCAGAGACUUAAAAAAUUUAUACUAUACCAUGUUUUAAAGGCAUGGCAAACCUUUAGACCGGUCAGUCUCCAAGAGCCCUUAGUAACACAGGUAAAAACCUUUGUCCAUGAUGUCUGAUUCAGGCUAUAUACCACAAUUUAAAAUAUCACAUAAUGUGAGACAUAGAAGACACAAGCAGUAGUUAUUACACUGGAUCAUUUAAAAGGAACCUGUUGCAAUAAAAAGGUUAAUUUACAGUGCAAAAUAAAGCAUGUGUUGGACCGCUGAAAAUGUAAAUGUUGCUCUGUUAUUUUCAAACAAAAAUUAUAUUUACAGUAUGGAUCCUUUGCAACAAACACACAGGGCAGGGAAGAUGUGCUGAUUGGUGUUUCUAUACAAUUAAUCCCAUAUGGGGAAUUAACUUUCAAAUACUAAUGAUGUGACUUUUUGUCUCAGUUAUAAAAUAUACUGAGCUCAUCAUGCAAACAAUGCAACACAUUUACACUAUCCCACUCUCAUAAUAAGUGUAGUGGGCUUAUAGUAUUUUUAAAGCAACAAUCAUACCAGGCACACAGUUCCCAUGUGAAAUAACUUACAAUAAAACAGAGUAAUAAACUUAUACUUCUAUGCGACAGAAAGAAUAAAGCAAAAAGAUUUAAGUAGGUCUAUCAGGUACAACCUGUGAGUCAUUUCUUUUCUAAUAUACAGUACUGCUAUCUUGCAAAAAGAUAAGUCCUGCGCUCACUCCCAUCACUACUGGGCAGCAGCAAGGACUACAGUACACAUCAGCCCCAAUAUAUGGUAAAAACCAAAGAAAAACAAGUUACCUGCGUUCUCUCCUUAAUCCCUAUGUAUUUUUAAAACCUCCAUUUGUUUAAAAGUACUGCUAUCUUAUAUAUACACAUAUACAUAUACACACACAUAUAUACAUACAUAUACACAUAUAUACAUACACACACAUAUACAUACAUAUAUUGGUCACUCAGGACAUGAACUCACAUUUCCCAUACUGCUGAUUCAGAGUGGGGACACUACUAACUUACCAAAGUGUGUCCCCAAUAUAGACAAUCAAUCACCCACAAAAAACACUUAAGACAAACAAAGGUGACCGGGAGAAAGAGAAGUUUGGGUUAUACUUAAAGAUCUACAAACCGUGCUACUCAGAACACCUAUAGACUUAAUAAACCGGAGACCUCUUAUGGUCUCAAAACCUGUAUCUACCUGAGAUACCCUGUAUCUAUCUUAGAUACUAACCUGGGUUACCAAAACCCUAUAUAUUUAGACCAAAUGUCUAAUAAACCGGAGACCUAUUUACAGUCUCAAUAUAACUAGAGUCCUUACACCUUUCCUAUCUACUGGAUACAGACUUACUGAACCAAACGGGGGUCAUAGACAAUCAGCGUCAAUAAGACACAAAAAGGCUACUCACCGCAAAUGGUUUUGCUGAUCCAACUUCUAUCCCACUUCUAGACACCAAGCUGAAAGGGUUAAUGUUGUAAUGGACUCUAAUCCCCUCGGUUCUCGAUCCCUCGGUCACCAUAAUCAACGUUGAUGGAGAAUCAUUUGUAAGCAAUA
rnacentral:lncRNA from 1 species